AGCGAACGCUGGCGGCAGGCCUAACACAUGCAAGUCGAACGAAGUCUUCGGACUUAGUGGCGGACGGGUGAGUAACACGUGGGAACGUGCCCUUUGGUACGGAAUAACUCAGGGAAACUUGAGCUAAUACCGUAUGUGCCCUUCGGGGGAAAGAUUUAUCGCCAUUGGAGCGGCCCGCGUCUGAUUAGCUAGUUGGUGAGGUAACGGCUCACCAAGGCGACGAUCAGUAGCUGGUCUGAGAGGAUGACCAGCCACAUUGGGACUGAGACACGGCCCAAACUCCUACGGGAGGCAGCAGUGGGGAAUCUUGCGCAAUGGGCGAAAGCCUGACGCAGCCAUGCCGCGUGGAUGAUGAAGGUCUUAGGAUUGUAAAAUCCUUUCACCGGUGAAGAUAAUGACUGUAGCCGGAGAAGAAGCCCCGGCUAACUUCGUGCCAGCCGCCGCGGUAACAC
rnacentral:rRNA from 1 species